rfam:Triticum urartu cultivar G1812 contig1080954, whole genome shotgun sequence.
AUAGUACUCCCUCCGUCCGGAAAUACUUGUCAUUGAAAUGGAUGUAUCUAGAUGUAUUUUAGUUCUAGAUACAUUCAUUUUCAUCCAUUUUGAUGACAAGUAUUUCCGGACGGAGGGAGUAUCUA